AUGUAGCGUCACACAGAGGAAGGAGGAGGCUUUUACUGUCUGUCAAACUGCUGCUGAUCUCAGUUCAGCUGCAGAAUGGAGGGAACAUCUGUCCAGAGGCUGCUGGUUGUGAGCUCACUGCUGAUCUGCUCAACAAACCAAGCUCGUCUGACUGUGAGUCCCAGCAGAUCUCAGUUUUUUAAAGGAGACUCUGUCUCUCUGAGCUGUGAGGAGGACGACAGCUCUGCUGGAUGGAGGCUGUGGAGGAACACAACUGGACAAACCAGAGCUAAAUGUAGAGCUG